UUAACUCACACCCAUAAGCGCCAGGGAACUACGAGCCAUGCUUAAAACCCAAAGGAUUUGACGGUGUCCCACCCCCCUAGAGGAGCCUGUUCUAUAAUCGAUGAUCCCCGAUACACCCGACCACCCCUUGCCCAUCAGUCUGUAUACCUCCGUCGAAAGCUUACCAUGUGAACGUCUACAGUAGGUUCAAGGACCCGCAUUAGCGCGUCAAUACGUCAGGUCAAGGUGCAACUUAAGGAGUGGGAAGUAAUUGGCUACAAUUUCUAAUCUAGAACAAACGAAAGACUGUGUGAAACCACAGUCACGAAGGCGGAUUUAGUAGUAAAAAGAAAAUAGAGAGUUCUUUUUAACCCGGCUCUGGUACGCGUACACACCGCCCGUCACCCUCUUCGAUAGUGCUAUUACCACGAUCCCUAACCCGUUUCUACGUCUUAGAAGAGGCAAGUCGUAACAUGGUAAGUAUACUGGAAGGUGUACUUGGAAUAUAACAAAAUGUAGCUUAACAAAAGCCCCCCGCUUACACCGAGAAGUUAUCUGUUCGACCCAGAUCAUUUUGAGCCUAAAAUCUAGCCCACACAAUCCUCAUGAUAUUACCAAACUACUGUAAAAAAUAAAACAUUUUAACAUCUUAGUAUAGGCGAUAGAAAAAUUACUAAGCGCUUUAGAUAAAGUACCGCAAGGGAAACAUGAAAUAGAAAUGAAACAAUAUUACAGCCACAAACAGCAGAGAC
rnacentral:rRNA from 1 species